ensembl:lncRNA
ACAAUCGGUGGCGGCGGCGGAGCGCUGCCCGGGCACCGAAACUUCCCGGCCGCGGGGCGAGGCGGGCCCACCGUCCCCCACACCCGCGACAACGGGGGCCGGGCCGGAGCGGCGCCGCGGGGCCGGGAGGGUCCCCGCACAAACGAGUCUCCCCUCCCGCCGUGCCCUCGGCUCGCGGGGGGUCGCCGUUCGGCCGCAGCCCGGCGGAGGGGCCGGAAGGCGGAGCGGGUGGGACGCGCCGCACACCCGCCGCCCCCCGGCCCGUCGCCUCGCGCCCCCCCUUCCCCCUCGCCGCCGUCCCGCACCGACCUGGGACAGAAAGGAGCGGCCGCCGCCCGCCGCUCAGCCGUCGCCUCCUCGCUUCCCGCUCGCAGCGCAGUCCAGGCCGCGGCAGCAGCGGGGUGGCGUAGCGCGGGCAUCCGCCGCCAGCGCCCGCUGCUCCCGGAGCGGCCCGCGACACCGGCGCUGGGCGGGGAAGGGGGGGCCGCCGGGAGAUUGCCGCGCGCCGCUUCCUGCCGCCCGGCGCACGGGGACGGCGGCUGCCGGAGGGUCUCGGCGCGGCACAGCCUCGCGGCCGCCGGUGCAACAACGAUCUCUCGUCUAGGCGGAGGCAGGAGCCGGCGGCGGCGAAACCCUCGGCCGCCGCAUCCCCAGCCUCCCCGCCGGGCUUUCCGCGCCGCCUCCGGCUCCGAGGAGUCGCUCCCGCGGCGCUGCUGGCAGCCGGAGCCCCGUCGCCGCGCCCGGCUCGGGCUCUUGCUCCCCCUGCCGCUCCGCCGGGCCGAGCUCGGGCUCCUCCCGCGGCUCCGUGGGGCCGGGCCGGGGCGGAGGGGAGCGGCCGGCAGCCGGCGGUUCGCGGGCGGGACCUCGACCUCCCGCGGGCCCAUCUCGGCCGUCGGGGCCCGAUUCCCCCGGGACCCCUCCGCGGGACCGCGGGCACGGAGCGGCGGGGGGCGGGGAGGGCUCCGUGCCAUGGGCACCGCUGCCUGGGCUCGGAAUCACCGGGGCAGGGGGUGGGCGGGGGACAGCUGA